GACGAAACGUACGAACGUUAUUCGGAAUCACUGGGCUUAAAGGGUGCGUAGGCGGCGCGACAAGUUGGGUGUGAAAUCCCUCGGCUCAACCGAGGAACUGCGCCCAAAACUGUCGUGCUCGAGGGAGACAGAGGUGAGCGGAACUUAGGGUGGAGCGGUGAAAUGCGUUGAUAUCCUAAGGAACACCGGUGGCGAAAGCGGCUCACUGGGUCUCUUCUGACGCUGAGGCACGAAAGCUAGGGUAGCGAACGGG
rnacentral:rRNA from 1 species